rnacentral:rRNA from 1 species
CCCGCAACGAGCGCAACCCCUAUCUUCUGUUGCCAGCACCUCGGGUGGGGACUCAGAAGAGACUGCCGCAGACAAUGCGGAGGAAGGCGGGGAUGACGUCAAGUCAUCAUGCCCCUUAUGGCUUGGGCUACACACGUACUACAAUGGCUCUUAAUAGAGGGAAGGCGAAGGAGCGAUCCGGGAGCAAACCCCAAAAACAGAGUCCCAGUUCGGAUUGCAGGCUGCAACUCGCCUGCAUGAAGCAGGAAUCGCUAGUAAUCGCAGGUCAGCAUACUGCGGUGAAUACGUUCCCGGGCCUUGUACACACCGCCCGUCACACCACGAAAGUCAUUCACACCCGAAGCCGGUGAGGCAACCGCAAGGAACCAGCCGUCGAAGGUGGGGGCGAUGAUUGGGGUGAAGUCGUAACAAGGUAGCCGUAAGG